rnacentral:rRNA from 1 species
CCUACGGGUGGCUGCAGUGGGGAAUAUUGGGCAAUGGAGGAAACUCUGACCCAGCAACGCCGCGUGAAUGAUGAAGGUCUUCGGAUUGUAAAGUUCUUUUCUAAGGGAAGAAGAAAGUGACGGUACCUUAGGAAUAAGCCUCGGCUAACUACGUGCCAGCAGCCGCGGUAAUACGGAGGAUGCGAGCGUUAUCCGGAUUUAUUGGGUUUAAAGGGUGCGUAGGUGGUCCGUUAAGUCAGCGGUAAAAUUGCGGGGCUCAACCCCGUCGAGCCGUUGAAACUGGCAGACUUGAGUUGGCGAGAAGUACGCGGAAUGCGCGGUGUAGCGGUGAAAUGCAUAGAUAUCGCGAAGAACUCCGAUUGCGAAGGCAGCGUACCGGCGCCAGACUGACGCUGAGGCACGAAAGCGUGGGGAUCGAACAGGAUUAGAUACCCUAGUAGUC